rnacentral:tRNA from 1 species
GCGUGCGUGGGGUAGUGGUAACCUUGAUCGUUGCCACUUGCGUCCAAUUCGAUCAGCCCCGAGUUCAAUUCUCGGCGCACGCA